AUACGUAAAGCGAAAACGGAAGUAGAAUCUACAUCGACUUCGGUUUACAGAUACUGAAGAGGGGAACAAUGGAUGAGAGAUAUAAUAUUUGCUCACACAGAAGAAGGCUGUUUGUCUCUAUAGUAAACACAGAAUUUGAUGUGGAAGGAUAUUCUCAACUUCAGCAUUCAGCUACCAACAAGAACUUUUACCCAUUUAUUGAUAAAUUUGGAUUUUCACAUUUGCCAGGGAAUGAUAAAGAUUUUGAACAUGUACACAAGAAUGUGUCAUACUCUGGCUUUGACCAAAUCAUUCGUACAGGAAUAAUUGUGCCAUUUUAUUUGGUUGUUUGAGAAUUUGUCAAGACACCGCCUAUAGCGUGCUGCAUCCAUGUACACGAGACUGGCCCACAUACAUCCAAUAUACACAAAAUAUACAUUGAAUAUGUCAACAUUUUCUAAAACAAAAAUCAAUUUCCUCCCCUUGUGAAUCUAAAGCAGUCGGAGUACAGCUGCCUAGCUGUUUCAAUCAGCUCCCAUGGUAAAAUGGAAGAGGAAAAUGGAAGGAUCUGUCACAAAUUGUUAUGUAGUGAACCUAAACCAAAUGAAAAGGAGAACAGAUGGAUUUCCACAUCUUACCUUAUUGGACAAUUCAGGAAAUGUUUACCUGAUUCAUGCCCUAUGAUAAUUCUGAUCCAGGCUUGCAGAGGAGAUUAAAGAGGACCGUGGUGUGGAUUUUUAUCAGACUAGGACACUAGAACCCAGUCCAGAAACUGACAGUGGCAUAGUAUCAAUGAGCUUGACCGAACUAACAGAUUCGGAACAAAACCAAGAUAAUUCAGACAAGUCGACAGGGAAUAUGGGACCUAAACAAGGGGGCCUAACAGAUUCUUCUCCAAACACACCAUCAUCAUCACAGGAUGAAGUUCAGUCAUCAUAUGACGACUUUGUUGCGAUGGAAAUGUGUCCUCUUCAUAGUGUUGUGGCAUUUUCAAGUGCAGAAGGAUAUUAUAGUAAAUCUAGUAACUGAAUUGGUGGCUGGCUGCUUGAUUCUUUUAAAAAAGCUGUUGACAAAUUUGAGGCGGAGAAGAAGGAGAUGAAUAUCCUCUCUCUCCUUACCCAGGCUAACAGUGUGUUAAAAGAAGACGAUGGCAUGGCUUCUAAAAACGAUGCUGGUACUAAGUCUAUAGGGAGCAUUCAGCAUAAACUUGUAAAGGAGCUGAUUUUGAAAACAACCAAGGAAAAAGAUGAAGGAAAUAAUGGCCAAGAUGAUGAAGAUGAGGCAGUUGAAGAAUUUUAGCUCACCUGGUCCAGAGGACCAAUGUAAACUAAUGUCAUUCAGAAUCAACCAAAUUUAUUGAAAUUUUGUAUAUAUGCAGUCAUGUAUUGACAAGAUCUCGGAUGAGUUUGAAAAUGGGAAUUAUUCAACAAUAUUUACAUUUGCUCCACAUUUCCCCAUUGACACUAUGCUAAGAGGCACUUGCCACCUUACGCUUAUAACACCCAGUGCCUCGGGUUAUAACACCCAGUGACCUUAAAAAUGGCGUUUUUUUUAGUGUUGGUUUACUUUUUUUCAAAGUUGACGAAAUGGUAAGAAAAUGUAAAUAUAAGUAUUGAACAGUGGUUUUAAUGUUGUUAUAGUCAAUAUGGCAGCAAGAUGAAUGUGGGCAAAUGUAGCAUGGGAACCCUAACGGGUUCCAUGCCAUUUGCCUAACAUACAUCUUGCUGACAUAUCGACUAUAACAAUAUUAAAACCACUGUUCAUUGCUUAAAUAACUUACUACCCUUUGUAAUAAUAUUGUAAACAAUUUUUAGGUCACCUGAGACGAAGUCACAAGUAACCUAUUUGAAUCACAGGCGCUUGCAUAGAAAAUGAGAAUUUAAAAAAAAUGAUAUCAGUGGUAAGUGUACUGUGUAAUUCAGAUUACACAUACCACUGUCAAGUGUACUGUAUAAUUCAGAUUACACAUACCACUGUCAAAUAAAAAAAAAAUGAAAAUCACAUUUUCUAUGCAAGCACCUGUGAUUUGAAUCACCUUUUGUCCAUCGUCUUCCAUCGUGCGUCAGUAAACAGUUUACAUUUUCAACUUCUUUUCCAAAACCGCUGAACCAAAUUCAAUGAAAUUUGGCAGAAGGUCAAUCAACAUUGUUAAUUAUAUGGUCCCUACCUGCCAGGGGCCCUAGGUGCGUAGCCAAAGUCAGGGUCAAAUUGACUAAAACUUCAAAAAAUCUUCUUCCUUACUCUCAGAUAUGAUGGAAUCAAAUACUCUUUAUAAAUGGAACGGUCUUAAGGUGCUUUACCAAAAUUGUGAAUUUCAUGACCCUGGGGUCUCGCGUUUACCCCUGGGGAGGGGUAAACUUUACAAUAGUUUAUAUAGGGAAAUCACAUUUUAAACUAUUAUUUGUGCGAUUUCUAUUGGAUUUCAUUCUAACUUGAUAAACAUUGUUAGCAUGAGAUGCCAGUUUGAUGGUAUGCAUAUAUUGGCCCUGACUGACCCUCAGGUGCUGAUGGUCGGAGCCAAAAAAGGUCAAAUAUGACUGAAAUUUCAAAAAUCUUCUUUUCCAGACACUAAUAAGGUAGAUUAAAAAAAACAACUUAAUGAUACAUACAUGUUGGCCCUGACUGACCCCUAGGACUGAUGAGUCAGGCCAAAAAGGGUAAAUUAGAUUAACUAAAAUAUUUCGAAACUCAGGUGACAGUCGAUGCCCAUGAGCCUCUAGGUUACCUGGCCUGAAGGUCCUGUGAGCAUAUGCAAUGAGAAGUGUAGAGCCCAAUAUGGGAAAUUGAGGUUAACUUUUUAAACCCAACUUGUCUUGAACACCUGAAUGGAUUUUGAUGAAAUUUGGUCUGGAUUAUUAUUGGGCAAAGGUUGUAUAAUUGGAUUGUGUAGCUUUGCUAAGGGCGGGCCCCAAUAGGGGAAAUUGAGGUAAAAAAAUUUAAAUCACUAUUAGUUAUGAACAACUAAAUGGAUUUUGAUAAAUUUGGUCUGGAGAAUUAUCUGUCAAUGUUGUAUAUUGCAUAAAAACAGGAUAUGACACCUUUGGGAUAGGAGAAAAGGGGCCCCAAUAGGGGAAAUACAGAAAAACAAAACUUAAAAAUACUUUUUCUUUUUCAUGAAUGACAGGAGUUUAGUCCACCUACAGUUUGAAUCAUUGUUUGGAGAGCCAGUUCAAAAGGAAAAUACCUGAAACAUAACUUGAAUUAGAGUAAUAUGCUGUAAUAACUCAAAUAUCUUUGUGAGCCAUGCAAGUCUUCUACACUGUGUACACAUUGGUGACCGUAAUAUAUAAAAUACGGUCAUCAAAUAUGGCUUUAACUUGAUAUAAUGAUUUGAGCUAAUAUAUUAAUUCUUUUUCUUUUAAGGAUUCAUGUACUUCAUAGUGUGCUAACAGACACUGACAAGUAAUUGUUAUAUUGAGAUUAUAUAUGGAGUGGAUUUUAUUAACAGAACUUCAUUCAUAGAAAUAUAUGCUCAUACACCAUUAAACUUAAUCCUGUGUUGCAAUAAGCGAGAAUAUAGUACAUUGAAUAAGGACUCAGCAUAUGUUAUGUAAAUAAAGAUUUGAUUUUUUUCA